CCUACGGGUGGCUGCAGUGGGGGAUAUUGGUCAAUGGGGGGAACUCUGAUCCAGCGAAGCAGCGUGAGUGAAGAAGUAUUUCGGUAUGUAAAGCUCUAUCAGCAGGGAAGAAAAUGACGGUACCUGACUAAGAAGCCCUGGCUAACUACGUGAAAGCAGCCGCGGUAAUACGUAGGGGGCAAGCGUUAUCCGGAUUUACUGGGUGUAAAGGGAGCGUAGACGGUGCAGCAAGUCAGAUGUGAAAGGUCGGGGCCCAACCCCGGGACUGCAGUUGAAACUGUUGAACUGGAGUACAGUAGAGGUAAGCGGAAUUCCUAGUGUAGCGGUGGAAUGCGUAGAUAUUAGGAGGAACACCAGUGGCGAAGGCGGCUUACUGGACUGUAACUGACGUUGAGGCUCGAAAGCGUGGGGAGCAAACAGGAUUAGAUACCCCAGUAGUC
rnacentral:rRNA from 1 species